UACGGAGGGUGCAAGCGUUGUCCGGAUUCAUUGGGUUUAAAGGUGCGCAGGCGGGCCAUUAAGUCAGGGGUGAAAGACGGUUGCUCAACAAUCGCAGUGCCUUUGAUACUGGUGGUCUUGGGUGACCUUGAGGUAGGCGGAAUGGGUGGUGUAGCGGUGAAAUGCAUAGAUACCACCCAGAACUCCGAUUGCGAAGGCAGCCUACUGGAGGUUCACCGACGCUCAGGCACGAAAGCGUGGGGAUCAAACAGG
rnacentral:rRNA from 1 species